rnacentral:rRNA from 1 species
CUCGUAGGCGGUUCGUCGCGUCCGGUGUGAAAGCCCAUCGCUUAACGGUGGGUCUGCGCCGGGUACGGGCGGGCUGGAGUGCGGUAGGGGAGACUGGAAUUCCCGGUGUAACGGUGGAAUGUGUAGAUAUCGGGAAGAACACCAAUGGCGAAGGCAGGUCUCUGGGCCGUUACUGACGCUGAGGCUCGAAAGACGCGGGUAGGCAACA